AUUGAACGCUGGCGGCAGGCCUAACACAUGCAAGUCGAACGGUAACAGGAAGCAGCUUGCUGCUUCGCUGACGAGUGGCGGACGGGUGAGUAAUGUCUGGGAAACUGCCUGAUGGGGGGGGAUAACUACUGGAAACGGUAGCUAAUACCGCAUAACGUCGCAAGACCAAAGAGGGGGACCUUAGGGCCUCUUGCCAUCGGAUGUGCCCAGAUGGGAUUAGCUAGUAGGUGGGGUAACGGCUCACCUAGGCGACGAUCCCUAGCUGGUCUGAGAGGAUGACCAGCCACACUGGAACUGAGACACGGUCCAGACUCCUACGGGAGGCAGCAGUGGGGAAUAUUGCACAAUGGGCGCAAGCCUGAUGCAGCCAUGCCGCGUGUAUGAAGAAGGCCUUCGGGUUGUAAAGUACUUUCAGCGGGGAGGAAGGGAGUAAAGUUAAUACCUUUGCUCAUUGACGUUACCCGCAGAAGAAGCACCUGCUAACUCCGUG
rnacentral:rRNA from 1 species